rnacentral:rRNA from 1 species
GCCGAGCGGUAUUCUGGAUUUAUUCAGGAGAGAGCGGCGUACGGGUGCGUAACACGUGUGCAACCUACCUUUAUCAGGGGAAUAGCCUUUCGAAAGGAAGAUUAAUACUCCAUAAUAUAUUAGAUGGCAUCAUUUAAUAUUGAAAACUCCGGUGGAUAAAGAUGGGCACGCGCAAGAUUAGAUAGUUGGUGAGGUAACGGCUCACCAAGUCAAUGAUCUUUAGGGGUCCUGAGAGGGAGAUCCCCCACACUGGUACUGAGACACGGACCAGACUCCUACGGGAGGCAGCAGUGAGGAAUAUUGGACAAUGGGUGAAAGCCUGAUCCAGCCAUCCCGCGUGAAGGAUGACGGUCCUAUGGAUUGUAAACUUCUUUUGUAUAGGAAUAAACCUUUCUACGUGUAGAAAGCUGAAGGUACUAUACGAAUAAGCACCGGCUAACUCCGUGCCAGCAGCCGCGGUAAUACGGAGGGUGCAAGCGUUAUCCGGAUUUAUUGGGUUUAAAGGGUCCGUAGGCGGACCGAUAAGUCAGUGGUGAAAUCUCAUAGCUUAACUAUGAAACUGCCAUUGAUACUGUCGGUCUUGAGUAAAUUAGAGGUAGCUGGAAUAAGUAGUGUAGCGGUGAAAUGCAUAGAUAUUACUUAGAACACCAAUUGCGAAGGCAGGUUACCAUGAUUUAACUGACGCUGAGGUACGAAAGCGUGGGGAGCGAACAGGAUUAGAUACCCUGGUAGUCCACGCCGUAAACGAUGCUAACUCGUUUUUGGGGCGCAAGCUUCAGAGACCAAGCGAAAGUGAUAAGUUAGCCACCUGGGGAGUACGUUCGCAAGAAUGAAACUCAAAGGAAUUGACGGGGGCCCGCACAAGCGGUGGAUUAUGUGGUUUAAUUCGAUGAUACGCGAGGA